AUUUUACUGUUUUUAUCCAAAUUUUAAUUGUGGAUAUUUUAUUGUUUUUACUGGAACAAACUGAGAGUGAGGUGGCUCAGUCUGCAUGUGAUGCUCUGUAACAUGCUUUUAAGGGGAAAAAGUAUUUUAUUUGUUUUUAUCCAAAUUUUAAUUGGGGAUAUUUUACUGUUUUUAUCCAAAUUUUAAUUGGGGAUAUUUUAUUGUUUUUACUGGAACAAACUGAGAGUGAGGUGGCUCAGUCUGCAUGUGAAGCUCUGUAACAUGCUUUUAAGGGGAAAACUGAGAGCGAGGUGGCUCAGUCUGCAUGUGAAGCUCUGUAACAUGCUUUUAAUUGUAAAAAGUAUUUUAUUUGUUUUUAUCCAAAUUUUAAUUGGGGAUAUUUUAUUGUUUUUACUGGAACAAACUGAGAGUGAGGUGGCUCAGCCUGCAUGUGAAGCUCUGUAACAUGCUUUUAAGGGGAAAAAGUAUUUUAUUUGUUUUUAUCCAAACUUUAAUUGGGGAUAUUUUACUGUUUUUAUCCAAAUUUUAAUUGGGGAUAUUUUAUUGUUUUUACUGGAACAAACUGAGAGUGAGGUGGCUCAGUCUGCAUGUGAAGCUCUGUAACAUGCUUUUAAGGGGAAAAAGUAUUUUAUUUGUUUUUAUCCAAAUUUUAAUUGAGGAUAUUUUACUGUUUUUAUCCAAAUUUUAAUUGGGGAUAUUUUAUUGUUUUUACUGGAACAAACUGAGAGUGAGGUGGCUCAGCCUGCAUGUGAAGCUCUGUAACAUGCUUUUAAGGGGAAAAAGUAUUUUAUUUGUUUUUAUCCAAAUUUUAAUUGGGGAUAUUUUACUGUUUUUAUCCAAAUUUUAAUUGGGGAUAUUUUAUUGUUUUUACUGGAACAAACUGAGAGUGAGGUGGCUCAGUCUGCAUGUGAAGCUCUGUAACAUGCUUUUAAGGGGGGAAAGUAUUUUAUUUGUUUUUAUCCAAAUUUUAAUUGGGGAUAUUUUACUGUUUUUAUCCAAAUUUUAAUUGGGGAUAUUUUAUUGUUUUUACUGGAACAAACUGAGAGUGAGGUGGCUCAAGUUUGCAUGUGAAGCUCUGUAACAUGCUUUUAAGGGGAAAACGUAUUUUAUUUGUUUUUAUCCAAAUUUUAAUUGGGGAUUUUUUACUGGAACAAACUGAGAGUGAGGUGGCUCAGUCUGCAUGUGAAGCUCUGUAACAUGCUUUUAAGGGGAAAAAAGUAUUUUAUUUGUUUUUAUCCAAAUUUUAAUUGGGGAUAUUUUACUGUUUUUAUCCAAAUUUUAAUUGGGGAUAUUUUUCUGCAUUUAUCCAAAUUUUAAUCGGAUAUUUUACUGUUUUUAUCUAAACUUUAAUUAGGGAUAUUUUACUGUUUUUAUCCAAAUUUUAAUUGGGGAUAUUUUACUGUUUUUAUCCAAAUUUUAAUUGGGGAUAUUUUAUUGUUUUUACUGGAACAAACUGAGAGUGAGGUGGCUCAGUCUGCAUGUGAAGCUCUGUAACAUGCUUUUAAGGGGAAAAAGUAUUUUAUUUGUUUUUAUCCAAAUUUUAAUUGGGGAUAUUUUACUGUUUUUAUCCAAAUUUUAAUUGGGGAUAUUUUAUUGUUUUUACUGGAACAAACUGAGAGUGAGGUGGCUCAGUCUGCAUGUGAAGCUCUGUAACAUGCUUUUAAGGGGAAAAAAGUAUUUUAUUUGUUUUUAUCCAAAUUUUAAUUGGGGAUAUUUUACUGUUUUUAUCCAAAUUUUAAUAGGGGAUAUUUUACUGUUUUUACUGGAACGAACUGAGAGUGAGGUGGCUCAGUCUGCAUGUGAAGCUCUGUUACAUGUUUCUAAGGGGAAAAAAGUAUUUUAUUUGUUUUUAUCCAAAUUUUAAUUGGGGAUAUUUUAUUGUUUUUACUGGAACAAACUGAGAGUGAAGUGGCUCAGUCUGCAUGUGAAGCUCUGUAACAUGCUUUUAAGGGGAAAAAGUAUUUUAUUUGUUUUUAUCCAAAUUUUAAUUGGGGAUAUUUUACUGUUUUUAUCCAAAUUUUAAUUGGGGAUAUUUUAUUGUUUUUACUGGAACAAACUGAGAGUGAGGUGGCUCAGUCUGCAUGUGAAGCUCUGUAACAUGCUUUUAAGGGGAAAAAGUAUUUUAUUUGUUUUUAUCCAAAUUUUAAUUGGGGAUAUUUUACUGUUUUUAUCCAAAUUUUAAUUGGGGAUAUUUUAUUGUUUUUACUGGAACAAACUGAGAGUGAGGUGGCUCAGUCUGCAUGUGAAGCUCUGUAACAUGCUUUUAAGGGGAAAAAAGUAUUUUAUUUGUUUUUAUCCAAAUUUUAAUUGGGGAUAUUUUACUGUUUUUAUCCAAAUUUUAAUAGGGGAUAUUUUACUGUUUUUACUGGAACGAACUGAGAGUGAGGUGGCUCAGUCUGCAUGUGAAGCUCUGUUACAUGUUUCUAAGGGGAAAAAAGUAUUUUAUUUGUUUUUAUCCAAAUUUUAAUUGGGGAUAUUUUAUUGUUUUUACUGGAACAAACUGAGAGUGAGGUGGCUCAGUCUGCAUGUGAAGCUCUGUAACAUGCUUUUAAGGGGAAAAAGUAUUUUAUUUGUUUUUAUCCAAAUUUUAAUUGGGGAUAUUUUACUGUUUUUAUCCAAAUUUUAAUUGGGGAUAUUUUAUUAUUUUUACUGGAACAAACUGAGAGUGAGGUGGCUCGGGUCUGCAUGUGAAGCUCUGUAACAUGGUUUUAAGGGGGAAAAGUAUUUUAUUUGUUUUUAUCCAAAUUUUAAUUGGGGAUAUUUUACUGUUUUUAUCCAAAUUUUAAUUGGGGAUAUUUUAUUGUUUUUACUGGAACAAACUGAGAGUGAGGUGGCUCAGUCUGCAUGUCAAGCUCUGUAACAUGCUUUUAAGGGGAAAAAAGUAUUUUAUUUGUUUUUAUCCAAAUUUAAUUGGGGAUAUUUUACUGUUUUUAUCCAAAUUUUAAUCAGGGAUAUUUUAUUGUUUUUACUGGAACAAACUGAGAGUGAGGUGGCUCAAGUCUGCAUGUGAAGCUCUGUAACAUGCUUUUAAGGGGAAAACGUAUUUUAUUUGUUUUUAUCCAAAUUUUAAUUGGGGAUUUUUUACUGGAACAAACUGAGAGUGAGGUGGCUCAGUCUGCAUGUGAAGCUCUGUAACAUGCUUUUAAGGGGAAAAAAGUAUUUUAUUUGUUUUUAUCCAAAUUUUAAUUGGGGAUAUUUUACUGUUUUUAUCCAAAUUUUAAUUGGGGAUAUUUUUCUGCAAUUAUCCAAAUUUUAAUCGGAUAUUUUACUGUUUUUAUCUAAACUUUAAUUAGGGAUAUUUUACUGUUUUUAUCUAAAUUUUAAUUGGAGAUAUUUUACUGUUUUUAUCCUAAUUUAUAAGUUGAGGCAGGUCAUUUUAUGAUUAUUUGGGAAAUGAGGGACUUUUUACGUUAUUUUAUCCAUUUGGGUGUGGGGGACAAAGGGAAUAUUUUACUUUUUAAGACCAAAUUUUAAUUUAUACAGGAGACCUUUUUUUUUUAUCUUUUUUUAGUUAAAUUUUAAGCCCCCAAGUCAAAUCAAAGACUUAAAAACUGGUACUCCAAAAGGAAAAGAUAGGUGACCUACUGUGGGCAUUUGUCUUGGUGAACUAGCACCUUAAAGUCCAGCUAACCCACAGGCCAGCUGGCUAGUACAAGCAGACAGGUAUUUUUAAUACCAUUUGGCAUUUUUAAACUUUGGCAUUUUUCAUUUGGCUUUUUGUUUUAUGUGUUUUUGAACUAUUUGGAUUUAUACCAUUUGGCAAUUUUCAUUUAUGUUUUUUUUCAUUUUUUUCAACAUAUUUUGUAAUCAACACACCAAAAACACUUCAAAAUUAAGAGUGGGAUAUAUACUUUUUGGCCUCCAUAAUGUUUUAUCAAUCAAAACAGCAUUCUAUUUUCAAAUUUACAUUACACAAUUUGGCUUUCUGUAACGUUGGCUGUUAAAUCUUUUGUACGAAUGCUAUGAUGACCAUUAUGUGUAGAAAAUAAGACUACAUUUCUAAAAGUGGCUCAGGUUCAUAUUUAUGUUUGAUAUCAAUCAGUUCUAAAUUUCCUUCACAUUUCUAAAAUUUUAAGAUCUUCCAUAUCUGGUACAUCUUAUAAUAUCGUAUUCAUCUACUAACCCAAUUUUCUCAUAGGGACUUAACACGAAGCAGAAGGGGUAUUAGGUGGUAGGUGGUUAAGGGUGUUAUGAUAGGGUGAAAGGGUGAGAAAGGGAGGGAGAAAUAUAGAAUGAUGGAGAGGGUGAGGGUAUAUGAUUGUGAGUGGAAUAUAGAGAGGGAGUUAAUCUGUGAGAGAAUGUGAUUUCAUAGUAAGGGCAGGGUGUACUGGUCUGGAAGUAUAGUUUCUGUUUUGUCUCAUGUAGUUUCUGUUUUCUACAUCAAUCUGAUAAGUUUAAAUAUUGAGAAAUUGCUGUCGUCUAAAAGUUCACAGGUUAACAGCCUUU